UACGGAGGAUCCGAGCGUUAUCCGGAUUUAUUGGGUUUAAAGGGUGCGCAGGCGGGGGAUUAAGUCGGCGGUGAAAUUUUGCAGCUCAACUGUAAAAGUGCCUUCGAAACUGGUUUCCUUGAGUGUAGAUGAAGUAGGCGGAAUUUGUGGUGUAGCGGUGAAAUGCAUAGAUAUCACGAGGAACUCCGAUUGCGCAGGCAGCUUACUAAACUACUACUGACGCUCAGGCACGAAGGCGUGGGGAUCAAACAGGAUUAGAUACCCGGGUAGUUCCU
rnacentral:rRNA from 1 species